UACGUAGGGUGCGAGCGUUGUCCGGAAUUACUGGGCGUAAAGAGCUCGUAGGCGGUUUGUCGCGUCGUCCGUGAAAACUCGGAGCUUAACUCCGGGCGUGCGGGCGAUACGGGCAGACUUGAGUACUACAGGGGAGACUGGAAUUCCUGGUGUAGCGGUGAAAUGCGCAGAUAUCAGGAGGAACACCGGUGGCGAAGGCGGGUCUCUGGGUAGUAACUGACGCUGAGGAGCGAAAGCAUGGGUAGCGAACAGGAUUAGAUACCCCGGUAGUCCCUGA
rnacentral:rRNA from 1 species